AUAAGUUUGUCCUAGGAAAGAGGCAAAAGUUAUACUGAAAGAAGUUGAAGGCAAAAGCUUCUAAUUUUUGUAUAAAGCAGACUGCUCGGAGGGAAUGGCUAUAUUGAUUCUUUUCAUCAUGACCACGAGGAUCACGUAGAACAACCUGUUUUGAUCUCAACUCUUCAAUGGUGAAUCUAUGUGUUGCUAAGUUUCUUCUCUUUGUGUAGAAACUAAAUCUCUCUGCCUCAAGAUUUUUGUUUGUUUAGGAUGCCUUAUCGAUGUUUUCUCAAGAUUUAAGGACCGUAACAUGGGAAUUUUCCUUCAUUGCUUAGCUUUGAUCAUCAAGGGUGGUCACUUAUACAUCUCUAAAUCUCUACCUGAGAAUUUAACAAAGAUAUCUUACCUGUCAAGAUUUUGAUACAAUGAGAGCUUUCAUGAAGAAAGUGUGAUCAAUCUUGAGGCCUGCUUUGUGACCGAAUUGUUCAGGAACAUCAAGACGAUAGCUGAGUGUCUUGCUGAUGAACUCAUCAAUGCUGCCAAGGGUUCUUCAAAUAGCUAUGCUAUUAAGAAGAAGAACGAGAUUGAAAGGGUUGCCAAGGCUAAUCAUUAAGAGAUUGAUGUUGGAGCAACUUUCUCGAGAGACUUUUUGGUUAUGUUAUUUUUUCAUUUAUGUUUUCAUGUAGGCAUUAUAGCAUCUGCUACUCUUUAUGGAUUUAGUUUCUUGGAGGAUUUAUGUUUGGUAUUGUUAUAAAUGUUAAACUUUGAAGUUCUUUU